rnacentral:tRNA from 1 species
UCAAAUUAAAGCUAUAUAGUUUUUUAUUUACAUUAAAAAGAAAAUUGUUUAUUCAAUUUAGUUUG